GACGAACGCUGGCUGCGUGCCUAAUACAUGCAAGUAGAACGCUGAAGAGAGGAGCUUGCUCUUCUUGGAUGAGUUGCGAACGGGUGAGUAACGCGUAGGUAACCUGCCUUGUAGCGGGGGAUAACUAUUGGAAACGAUAGCUAAUACCGCAUAACAAUGGAUGACACAUGUCAUUUAUUUGAAAGGGGCAAAUGCUCCACUACAAGAUGGACCUGCGUUGUAUUAGCUAGUGGGUGAGGUAACGGCUCACCUAGGCGACGAUACAUAGCCGACCUGAGAGGGUGAUCGGCCACACUGGGACUGAGACACGGCCCAGACUCCUACGGGAGGCAGCAGUAGGGAAUCUUCGGCAAUGGGGGCAACCCUGACCGAGCAACGCCGCGUGAGUGAAGAAGGUUUUCGGAUCGUAAAGCUCUGUUGUAAGUCAAGAACGAGUGUGAGAGUGGAAAGUUCACACUGUGACGGUAGCUUACCAGAAAGGGACGGCUAACUACGUGCCAGCAGCCGCGGUAAUACGUAGGUCCCGAGCGUUGUCCGGAUUUAUUGGGCGUAAAGCGAGCGCAGGCGGUUUGAUAAGUCUGAAGUUAAAGGCUGUGGCUCAACCAUAGUUCGCUUUGGAAACUGUCAAACUUGAGUGCAGAAGGGGAGAGUGGAAUUCCAUGUGUAGCGGUGAAAUGCGUAGAUAUAUGGGAGGAACACCGGUGGCGAAAGCGGCUCUCUGGUCUGUAACUGACGCUGAGGCUCGAAAGCGUGGGGAGCGAACAGGAUUAGAUACCCUGGUAGUCCACGCCGUAAACGAUGAGUGCUAGGUGUUGGAUCCUUUCCGGGAUUCAGUGCCGCAGCUAACGCAUUAAGCACUCCGCCUGGGGAGUACGACCGCAAGGUUGAAACUCAAAGGAAUUGACGGGGGCCCGCACAAGCGGUGGAGCAUGUGGUUUAAUUCGAAGCAACGCGAAGAACCUUACCAGGUCUUGACAUCCCGAUGCUAUUUCUAGAGAUAGAAAGUCACUUCGGUACAUCGGUGACAGGUGGUGCAUGGUUGUCGUCAGCUCGUGUCGUGAGAUGUUGGGUUAAGUCCCGCAACGAGCGCAACCCCUAUUGUUAGUUGCCAUCAUUCAGUUGGGCACUCUAGCGAGACUGCCGGUAAUAAACCGGAGGAAGGUGGGGAUGACGUCAAAUCAUCAUGCCCCUUAUGACCUGGGCUACACACGUGCUACAAUGGUUGGUACAACGAGUUGCGAGUCGGUGACGGCAAGCUAAUCUCUUAAAGCCAAUCUCAGUUCGGAUUGUAGGCUGCAACUCGCCUACAUGAAGUCGGAAUCGCUAGUAAUCGCGGAUCAGCACGCCGCGGUGAAUACGUUCCCGGGCCU
rnacentral:rRNA from 1 species